rnacentral:rRNA from 1 species
CCUAGGGGGUGCAGCAGUGGGGAAUAUUGGACAAUGGGCGAAAGCCUGAUCCAGCCAUGCCGCGUGUGUGAAGAAGGCCUUCGGGUUGUAAAGCACUUUCAGUGGGGAAGAAAGCCUUGGGGCUAAUACCCUCGAGGAAGGACAUCACCCACAGAAGAAGCACCGGCUAACUCCGUGCCAGCAGCCGCGGUAAUACGGAGGGUGCGAGCGUUAAUCGGAAUUACUGGGCGUAAAGCGCGCGUAGGCGGUCUGAUAAGCCGGUUGUGAAAGCCCCGGGCUCAACCUGGGAACGGCAUCCGGAACUGUCAGGCUAGAGUGCAGGAGAGGAAGGUAGAAUUCCCGGUGUAGCGGUGAAAUGCGUAGAGAUCGGGAGGAAUACCAGUGGCGAAGGCGGCCUUCUGGACUGACACUGACGCUGAGGUGCGAAAGCGUGGGUAGCAAACAGGAUUAGAUACCCGUGUAGUC